rnacentral:piRNA from 1 species
UNGCAAAGUCUAGACAUUGCCUUAGCCCA